rnacentral:lncRNA from 1 species
AAAGAUCUCAACCCUUUUUAAACGUAAUAUAUUAACAAACAUGCAUAACAGAAAAUAAAAUUAAGACCAGUACAGGAACAGCACGUUACUCUUAUCUAUUUAAGGUUCUGCAACAAACCAUUUUUGGUGCCGACAAUAUCAUGUUCUUCACCAUUUUGUGCAAACUUUACUGUUGUUAAUCAUGAUUGCCCGCAAAAUAUACAACUAUAUUAAAAUCAAUCUAAUUAAAAUAUUGAUCUCUGAUUACGUUAUACUAUAUAUAGCUACAUAUGGAAAAGACAUGUUAUAAUCUAUUUAUCAUAUAUUUAAGUUUUGCAGGAAAGAGAAAAAAAGUUUUAUUUUAACAAUUUAAUGAAACAAAACAUUACCAUCAUUGUUCACCAUUGUCGUUAAGGACGCAAUGACGUCUCUUCAUUUGGAAUCAGGGCACACUAUCAAUCAAUCUAAUUAAAAUAUUGAUCUCUGAUUACGUUAUACUACUGUCCCUCUGGUGUCGUUCGUCCCUCUUUUGCAUUAAGUAUAUAUAAAUGAACUUAUGGGCGUUCUAACCGCUAUUAUCACGUUGAUGUACUAUAGUUUGACGCUCCGGGGCAAUAUCGAUAUCAGCCCUCCACAUCAAUACCUAGCCC